rnacentral:rRNA from 1 species
UCAAGCUACAAAGAGCACAAGGGGAAUGCCUUGGCACCGAGAGCCGAAGAAGGACGUGACUAACUGCGAUAAGCUGCGGGGAGCCGUAAGUAGGCUUUGAUCCGCAGAUUUCCGAAUGGAGCAAUCCGGCAAGAGGAAAGUCUUGUCAUCAUAUACUGAAUACAUAGGUAUAUGAGGGGAACCGCCUGAACUGAAACAUCUAAGUAGGGCGAGGAAGAGAAAUCAACUGAGAUUCCGUAAGUAGUGGCGAGCGAACGCGGAAGAGGCCAAACCGAGAGUAGUAAUACUUUCGGGGUUCGGACAGCGGACGGUAUGCUGAAGGUUAGCAGAAGGACAUGGGACGGUCCACCAAAGAGAGUGAAAGUCUCGUAUGCGAAAACUGAAAGCAGCCAGCUGAAUCCAGAGUACCGCCGGACACGUGAAACCCGGUGGGAAUAUGGGGGGACCAUCCUCCAAGCCUAAAUACUACCCAGUGACCGAUAGCGUAUAGUACUGUGAAGGAAAGGUGAAAAGCACCCCGGGAGGGGAGUGAAAAAGAACCUGAAACCCUGUGCCUACAAGCACCUAGAGCGCGUCAAAGCGUGAUAGGGUACUUUUUGUAGAACGGUCCGGCGAGCGAUUGUAUGCAGCAAGGUUAAGGACUUAAGGUCUGGAGCCGAAGCGAAAGCGAGUUUGAAAAGGGCGUUAAGUUGCAUAUAAUGGGCCCGAAACCGGGUGACCUACCCAUGGUCAGGUUGAAGUGGAAGUAAAAUUCCAUGGAGGACCGAACCGACCUCCGUUGAAAAGGCGGCGGAUGAACUGUGGGUAGCGGAGAAAUUCCAAUCGAACCCGGAGAUAGCUGGUUCUCUCCGAAAUAGCUUUAGGGCUAGCCUUGAAAUAGAUUACCGGAGGUAAAGCACUGAAUUGGCUAGGGGCCGAGAGGUUACUGAACCUUAUCAAACUAAGAAUGCCGGAUAAUCGUUUUUCAGGAGUCAGACAGUGGGAGAUAAGUUUCAUUGUCAAAAGGGAAACAGCCCAGACCCACAGCUAAGGUCCCCAAGUAUAGUUAAGUGGAAAAGGAUGUGGAAUUGCACAGACAACCAGGAUGUUGGCUUAGAAGCAGCCACUCAUUAAAAGAGUGCGUAAUAGCUCACUGGUCGAGUGACUCUGCGCCGAAAAUUUAACGGGGCUAAACUAUACACCGAAGCUUGGGAUACAUCUAAUGUAUGGUAGGAGAGCGUUCUGUAUGGGGAGAAGUCGUAGCGAAAGCGGCGGUGGACUAUACAGAAGUGAGAAUGCCGGAAUAAGUAGCGAGAAUUAAGUGAGAAUCUUAAUGGCCGAAAGUCUAAGGUUUUUGGAGGAAGGUUCGUCCGCUCCAAGUAAGUCGGGAGCUAAGGUCAGGCCGAAAGGCGUAGCCGAUGCACAUACGGUUGAUAUUCCGUAACCAUCUGUAAUUUAAGCAAAGGGACACUUCAAAAGGGUGUGACCCGGGCGUUGGUUGACCCGGGCGUAAGGGACCGAAAUUAGAGUAGGGAAGCACACUUAGCUGAAGGCGAGAAAAGCUUUGCGUAUAGAAACAGAUGCCCGUACCGCAAACCGACACAGGUGGACAGGAAGAGAAUUCUAAGGCCAGCGGGAGAAGGGUAGUUAAGGAACUCGGCAAAUUGACUCCGUAACUUCGGAAUAAGGAGUGCUCGAAAGAGCCGCAGAGAAUAGGCCCAGGCGACUGUUUAGCAAAAACACAGGUCUCUGCCAAAUCGAAAGAUGAAGUAUAGGGGCUGACACCUGCCCGGUGCCGGAAGGUUAAGAGGAGGAGUGAGAGCUCCGAAUUGAAGCCCCGGUAAACGGCGGCCGUAACUAUAACGGUCCUAAGGUAGCGAAAUUCCUUGUCGGGU